rnacentral:rRNA from 1 species
CAGGCCUAACACAUGCUAGUCGAACGCUGUAUUUAUACAGAGUGGCGCACGGGUGAGUAACACGUGGGAAUCUGCCCUUCUCUGCGGGACAACAGUUGGAAACGACUGCUAAUACCGCAUACGCCCUUCGGGGGAAAGGUCCGCCGGAGAAGGAGGAGCCCGCGUCUGAUUAGCUUGUUGGUGGGGUAAUGGCCUACCAAGGCGACGAUCAGUAGCUGGUCUGAGAGGAUGAUCAGCCACACUGGGACUGAGACACGGCCCAGACUCCUACGGGAGGCAGCAGUGGGGAAUAUUGGACAAUGGAGGAAACUCUGAUCCAGCAAUGCCGCGUGUGUGAUGAAGGCCCUAGGGUUGUAAAGCACUUUCAUUGGUGAAGAUGAUGACGGUAACCAAAGAAGAAGCCCCGGCUAACUUCGUGCCAGCAGCCGCGGUAAUACGAAGGGGGCGAGCGUUGUUCGGAAUUACUGGGCGUAAAGGGAGCGCAGGCGGUUCAAUUAGUUAGGCGUGAAAGCCCCGGGCUCAACCUGGGAACUGCGCCUAAUACUGUUGAGCUAGAAUACAGAGGAGGAUAGUGGAAUUCCCAGUGUAGAGGUGAAAUUCGUAGAUAUUGGGAAGAACACCGGUGGCGAAAGCGGCUAUCUGGUCUGUU